UUCUCCUUUAAAAGGUUAAUACGCCGAAAAUCAUAUAACUAGCAAUCAUGCAUUACAAACUGUAAUUACUUACAUGUUUCUCCGUGGAAUAAGAUGCGACCAAGUACACCACUACGUGCUUUGUGUUCCAAUCCCACAAUUCAGAAAGGUCAGCGUCCAUGUUGAAUUUGACUUGGGCAUACUGCUGACGGACAUUGCGAAAAGCGUGAUAGAAUCGUGCACUUCUGCUAUACUAGUGUUAAUACUAAAUGGUAAUUUCUCAACUUAAAAACGAACAAAAAGACAGUAUCAUAAUAGACAAGGAUAUAAGGUAGGGCACUCACUAUCAAAUGGCUUUUCAACUAUGCCUCAAGUUCAACAUAUAUAUGAGUUUAACCGAACCUAUCAUUUACAAAACCUAGAAUAUAAAACUACUUACUAUUUGGCAUAAUGUACAUAUACAGGAGUAUCUAACUCCACUUCUCUACGCUGAAUUACGCCUUGAAAAGUAAUAACAGCACAUAAAAAAAACAACACCGUCGAUAGCUUGCUGAAGAAGGUACUGCCACGAUUCGUAAAUGUAUCCACGAUCAUUCUGGAUUUUUAAAGAAGGAAAUGGAUAAUUCCUUGUCUUCGUUGUUUCAAAUCGAUUCCUUUAGUGUAGCAAAGGUUUUUGGUAGUAUACGGAAAUCUAUUUGUGACGCGCUAUAAGUAACUUAAAUAAGUCAAGCGAUACUUAGUAAAUGAUGGUGUUGAGUGCAAUCGGCCAGUUACCAAAAUUUGUUAAUUUAUUGGUUAUUGUUUUGAAUGUCGUUUAUCAAUUCUACAAUAGAUUGUUUUCACAGGAACAAAAUAGAAAAUUAAAAAAUGUUAAACGUUACGCGGAAAAAUCGGAAAUCUAAUUAUAGACGUAUAUCUCAUUUUUAAAAAAAAGAAACAAUUGGAAUGCAAAUAAAUAUCAAGUAUGUUAACAUUCAUAUGAAACAACUAAUGAGAGAAUGUUGACUGUUGAAAGUCAAUGCUUUGAGGAAUUAGAAGUCUAUAAAGAAAAGAUAGGAAUGUAUAUUAUAAAAUCCCAA